rnacentral:rRNA from 1 species
CCUACGGGAGGCUGCAGUGGGGAAUAUUGGACAAUGGGGGGAACCCUGAUCCAGCCAUGCCGCGUGUGUGAAGAAGGCCCUCGGGUUGUAAAGCACUUUCAGUGAGGAAGAACGCCUGGUGGUUAAUACCCAUCAGGAAAGACAUCACUCACAGAAGAAGCACCGGCUAACUCCGUGCCAGCAGCCGCGGUAAUACGGAGGGUGCGAGCGUUAAUCGGAAUUACUGGGCGUAAAGCGCGCGUAGGUGGCUUGAUAAGCCGGUUGUGAAAGCCCCGGGCUCAACCUGGGAACGGCAUCCGGAACUGUCAAGCUAGAGUGCAGGAGAGGAAGGUAGAAUUCCCGGUGUAGCGGUGAAAUGCGUAGAGAUCGGGAGGAAUACCAGUGGCGAAGGCGGCCUUAUGGACUGACACUGACACUGAGGUGCGAAAGCGUGGGUAGCAAACAGGAUAAGAUACCCUAGUAGUC